rnacentral:rRNA from 1 species
CACGUAGGGUGCGAGCGUUGUCCGGAAUUAUUGGGCGUAAAGAGCUCGUAGGCGGUUUGUCGCGUCUGCUGUGAAAACUCGGGGCUUAACUCCGGGCCUGCAGUGGGUACGGGCAGACUAGAGUGCGGUAGGGGAGACUGGAAUUCCUGGUGUAGAGGUGAAAUUCGUAGAUAUUGGGAGGAACACCGGUGGCGAAGGCGGCGAUCUGGGUGGUGACUGACGCUGAGGCGCGAAAGCGUGGGGAGCAAACAGG